CUGCGCCUGCGCAGUGGCGUUCUUUUCCAACCGACGCCGCGCCGACCUAACAAGCCAUCAGAAACGCGUCAUGUAUGCCUCAGGUAAUGGAAGACGAGGGGCAAAUCACGUUUAACGUUACUCUCUUGCGACUGUCUUCAUUGACAAAACUAUUCACAGUUGGAAGUGUUGGAGAACUGAUUAACUCAGCCAAAACUGAGCUCUCUCAACAAGUAUCUGUUGAUCGAAUACUGAGAUUUGACACAGAUUUUGAAGAAUUUAAUGAAAUCAAUGUUAAUUCAGAAGUGAAGGAGCUUGACAAAUUCCAAAUAUAUUAUAAAACUAACGUUAGUACCACACAGGAUCCAUUAGAUGGAAGAUUUGAGUCAUUACCAUCUCAUUCAACAGAUGCAAGCCGGACUGUCAUCACAACUUGUCUGCUGACGCUGCUCGAGGAAAAGGCCCCUAUAAUUUUGAGAGAACAUGAAGACACAAAGACACUGUCAAUUUCUUUGAGAAAGUUACUUGUUAAAGUGGCUGUGAGUGACCUUGUAGAAAAGCAUGGAUUGUGAGUAUAACUGUUUAAGUUAUUAAUAACAUCAAACAACACUAGUUGUUUACAUGGACCUUUAUAAUCGCAUUGACGGCUCAAUCAAACUAAAAAAACAUCAUGUAAACACCUUAUUUGAUCUGAUUGUCUUUUAAAUGAGUUUCCUGUGAUUUGUUAAAUACAACAAGGUUUGUUUCUAGAAGAAAUUUGCCUCAUUGUCCACCCUAAGUAAGGUAGAUCUUGUAUCUAGAUAUUUCUUAUUUUGGAAAUGGUUUCAGACUUUGUUCUAUUUGAAGUCUAUUUUACAGUACCUAACAGAUAUGAGUUGAUAACAGAUAUUAAUUGAUGUACGUUGUCAUUUUCAAAGUGUUUGAUUAAUGUUUUAUAUCAUUAAUGUUAUUUAAAGUGUUUGAUGAAUGUUUUAUAUCAUUAAUGUUAAGAAAUGCUUUUUUUAUCAACAGUAUUUUUUACAGAAUGAAUUCCAUGUUAAAACCAGAAAAAAAGCAGAAUAAACAG